UUCCGGUUGAUCCUGCCGGACCUGACUGCUAUCGGAUUGAUACUAAGCCAUGCGAGUCUUUGCAGUAAUGCAAGGCAUACGGCUCAGUAACACGUAGUCAACUUACCCUAUGGACGAGGAUAAUCUCGGGAAACUGAGCAUAAUACUCGAUAGAUCAUAAUGCCUGGAAUGGUUUAUGGUUGAAAUGAUUCGUCGCCAUAGGAUGGGACUGCGGCCUAUCAGCUUGUUGGUGAGGUAAUGGCCCACCAAGGCGAUUACAGGUACGGGCUCUGAGAGGAGAAGCCCGGAGAUGGGUACUGAGACAAGGACCCAGGCCCUAUGGGGCGCAGCAGGCGAGAAAACUUUGCAAUGUGCGAAAGCACGACAAGGUUAAUCCGAGUGAUUUCUGCUAAAGAAAUCUUUUGCAAGUCAUAAAACCACUAGUGAAUAAGGGGUGGGCAAGUUCUGGUGUCAGCCGCCGCGGUAAAACCAGCACCUCAAGUGGUCAGGAGGAUUAUUGGGCCUAAAGCAUCCGUAGCCGGCUCUGUAAGUUUUCGGUUAAAUCCAUGUGCUCAACACAUGGGCUGCCGAAAAUACUGCAUAGCUAGGGAGUGGGAGAGGUAGACGGUACUCGGUAGGAAGGGGUAAAAUCCUUUGAUCUAUCGAUGACCACCUGUGGCGAAGGCGGUCUACCAGAACACGUUCGACGGUGAGGGAUGAAAGCUGGGGGAGCAAACCGGAUUAGAUACCCGGGUAGUCCCAGCUGUAAACGAUGCAGACUCGAUGAUGCAUUGGCAUAUAGCCAGUGCAGUGUCGCAGGGAAGCCGUUAAGUCUGCCGCCUGGGAAGUACGUACGCAAGUAUGAAACUUAAAGGAAUUGGCGGGGGAGCACCACAAGGGGUGAAGCCUGCGGUUCAAUUGGAGUCAACGCCGGG
rnacentral:rRNA from 1 species